GAUGAACGCUAGCUACAGGCUUAACACAUGCAAGUCGAGGGGCAGCAUGACGAUAGCUUGCUAUUGUUGAUGGCGACCGGCGCACGGGUGAGUAACGCGUAUCCAACCUGCCCUUGUCCAUCGGAUAACCCGUCGAAAGGCGGCCUAACACGAUGUGCAGUUCUCCGCAGGCAUCUAACGAGAACGAAAUGUAAAGGAGAAGGAUGGGGAUGCGUCUGAUUAGCUUGUUGGCGGGGUAACGGCCCACCAAGGCGACGAUCAGUAGGGGUUCUGAGAGGAAGGUCCCCCACAUUGGAACUGAGACACGGUCCAAACUCCUACGGGAGGCAGCAGUGAGGAAUAUUGGUCAAUGGGCGAGAGCCUGAACCAGCCAAGUAGCGUGCAGGACGACGGCCCUAUGGGUUGUAAACUGCUUUUAUGCGGGGAUAAAGUGAGCCACGUGUGGCUUAUUGCAGGUACCGCAUGAAUAAGGACCGGCUAAUUCCGUGCCAGCAGCCGCAGUAA
rnacentral:rRNA from 1 species